rnacentral:rRNA from 1 species
CAGGAUGAACGCUGGCGGCGUGCUUAACACAUGCAAGUCGAACGGAGUUUUAACGGAAGUUUCGGAUGGAAGUUUAAGAACUUAGUGGCGGACGGGUGAGUAACGCGUGGGUAACCUGCCUCAUACAGGGGGAUAACAGUUAGAAAUGACUGCUAACACCGCAUAAUAUAGCGAAACCGCAUGAUUUUGCUAUCAAAUAUUUAUAGGUAUGAGAUGGGCCCGCGUCUGAUUAGCUAGUUGGUGGGGUAAAAGCCUACCAAGGCGACGAUCAGUAGCCGGCUUGAGAGAGUGACCGGCCACAUUGGGACUGAGACACGGCCCAAACUCCUACGGGAGGCAGCAGGUGGGGAAUAUUGGACAAUGGGGGAAACCCUGAUCCAGCGAACCGCCGCGUGAGUGAAGAAGUAUUUCGGUAUGUAAAGCUCUAUCAGCAGGGAAGAUAAUGACAGUACCUGACUAAGAAGCCCCGGCUAACUACGUGCCAGCCGCAGC